UCCGGCUCAGAAGCUGCUGAAACUUCAGAAAAUUCUAUGAUCAGCUCAGUACAUUCACGGUCUCAGCCUUUAGACCCCAGAGGAGACAGGAAAACACUGGACAAUGUUAUUUACGAGCAUUACUCCAUCUCUGACACGCAAGUGAUCGCUAAAACUGAAGACCCAGUGUACAGCCUGCCGCAAAAACACUGAUCUUUAUUACACCUUACAGAUUAUAUACUGUUAUAUACAGUAUU